rnacentral:rRNA from 1 species
AAACAUAGCCUUUAGCAAAACAAGUAUUAAAGGCGACGCCUGCCCAGUGAAAUUUAAACGGCCGCGGUAUCCUAACCGUGCAAAGGUAGCGUAAUCACUUGUCUUAUAAAUAAAGACCCGUAUGAACGGCUAAAUGAAUAUUUAACUGUCUCCUUUAACUAAUCAGUGAAACUGAUCUUUCAGUACAAAAGCUGAAAUCAAAAUAUAAGACGAGAAGACCCUGUGGAGCUUCAAAUUUUUAACAGGGCAUUUUUAAAAGAGUGCUUAUGAUAAAAAAUUUUAAGUUGGGGCGACUUUGGAGUAGAACCCAACCUCCAAGAGACGGCAUUGCCGAAACUAGGGCUAACCCGCCAAACAUGUGAUCCAGUAUUAUAGACUGAUCAACGAACCAAGUUACCCCAGGGAUAACAGCGCUAUCUUCUUCAAGAGUUCCUAUCGACAAGAAGGUUUACGACCUCGAUGUUGGAUCAGGACACCCAAAUGGUGUAGCCGCUAUUAAAGGUUCGUUUGUUCAACGAUUAACAGUCCUACGUGAU